rnacentral:rRNA from 1 species
GAUGAACGCUGGCGGCGUGCCUAAUACAUGCAAGUCGAGCGAACGGACGAGAAGCUUGCUUCUCUGAUGUUAGCGGCGGACGGGUGAGUAACACGUGGAUAACCUACCUAUAAGACUGGGAUAACUUCGGGAAACCGGAGCUAAUACCGGAUAAUAUUUUGAACCGCAUGGUUCAAAAGUGAAAGACGGUCUUGCUGUCACUUAUAGAUGGAUCCGCGCUGCAUUAGCUAGUUGGUAAGGUAACGGCUUACCAAGGCAACGAUGCAUAGCCGACCUGAGAGGGUGAUCGGCCACACUGGAACGGAGACACGGUCCAGACUCCUACGGGAGGCAGCAGUAGGGAAUCUUCCGCAAUGGGCGAAAGCCUGACGGAGCAACGCCGCGUGAGUGAUGAAGGUCUUCGGAUCGUAAAACUCUGUUAUUAGUGAAGAACAUAUGUGUAAGUAACUGUGCACAUCGUGACGGUACCUAAUCAGAAAGCCACGGCUAACUACGUG